UAAGUGGUCAUAAAUUUUGUAUACAGUUUUAAACUGUAAAUCAUAUGACAUUUUUUAGAGGAUGAACUACAUUUUUAUAAAAAUCUAUCCAGAAAAUUGUAUCGUAAAAAAAAAUUGCUAAUGUCUCAAAAAGGCAAACAUGCGUUCCUUUCUGCUCCCCAGUGUGCAUUUGAACAUUCAUACAAACAUAUGUACUACAUAAUAACUAACUCGCUUUACUACUGAGCUGCGUUGUAAUUUUAAGAGUGCCAAAUCAAGUAGCAAGACACCAAGAAAUCACGUUUUAAUUCAUAAAGAAGGGUGUGAGUUUAACUAGCAAAAGGAAAACAUUAAUUGUGAACUAUUGUAAUUGUCUAAAUGUCUGUUCAUGUUUCCGAAACCGAUUUUUCUGCAGACGACAGUAUUGAAGAUCUGGACUUUAAUACUACUGGAAGUAAACGAAAGAGUUCAUUAAGUACGGAAUCAGGACCGGCCCUAAAAGAAGUCUGUGUGAAUUCACAAAAAAUUAUUUUCAAAGAAGAAUUUUACACAGAAGUGGAAAAAAUUUCCGAUAAGACAACUUGUGCUAAGUGCGUUGCAUGUCAUCGAGUGAUUAGAGGAAGCGGUGAAGUGACUUCAAAUUUCAUCAAACAUUUGCAAGUCAAGCAUAGUGAAUGUUUUAGAACAUACAAAAGUUAUAAAACAGGUAGCCCUUUUGGCGGUAACAUGCAAUCUGAGUUCGAUGGUAAACUGUUACAUGCAAUGAUUGAUUGUUUAUUUCCCCUUUCCAUUCUGGAAAAGAAAUCCUUUAUAGAUCUUUUUCAAAGUACAGGUAUGAAGGUGAUGUAGGCAAACAGCGGCUAAGAAAUUGGAAACAAAAUAUACCAUCAUGAUGGAAAAUGUAAAAGAAAACAUGGUUUGCUCUAAAUAUUUUUGUACUACAGCAGAUGUUUAGUCUGGAAAUCAUAGAAGCUUCCUUGGAUAUACGUGUCAUUGGCUUACAGACAAUUUCGAACGCAAAUCGGCAGCUUUGGCAUGUAGAAGAAUUUGUAAAGCACACACCGCGGAAAAUAUUGCGCAGAUGAUUACUGAAAUCAACACUGCCUUUGGUUUGAACAGCUCAAACAUUGUCUUGACCAUUACGGACAACGGUUCAAAUUUUGUAAAAGCGUUCAGAGAUUAUGGUGUGGGAAAUGACUUUUUCGAAGAUGAAAUUAAUGACGAAAUGCCAGUCUUUGAUAAUGAGAGUUUGUUGCCCACACAUCAGAGAUGUUGCAGCCAUACUCUGAAUUUGCUUGCUUCAACCGACUUCGAUAAAAUUUUAAAAACUGAGCAGCCACUGUAUAUCCAGCAUAAGAUGACAUUCGAUAAAUGCUACACCUUUUGGAAGAAGUGCAAGUGGCCAAAGUCUCGGAAAUAAUUGAAGGGCACCUGGGAUCAUCGUUGGUUUUGCCCGUUGUUACUCGUUGGAACUCAUUGCAUGACUCAGUUAAAAAACCACUUUGCUACAAACAAAAAUUAAAUAAUCUGUGUGAUAAGUUGACUUUGCCACAGUUUGCUGCAAGAGACAUACAGUACCUGGAAAUGUACAAUUUGGUAAUGGAACCAAUUGUAAAGGACUUUCUUCAAGGAGAAAGCAACAUUAAUUAUGGAUUUUUAAUACCAACUCUUGUGACACUGAGCAAUAGGCUGCAUAAGUUAUGCAGAUCCCAGGAAUUGCAACAGUUAUCAUCUCUUAUUUUAAAAAUGGAACAGAGGUUAAGAGAAAGGUUCCAACCAUAUUUCAUGUUGAAGCCUGAGGCAAAUAUUGCUAACUCAAAGCAUCAAAAUGAAAUGGGUCAUGGUGUUGCUGAGAUUAAAUCCGUAAUUGCCAGAAUUAACUGUCGAAAAUAUAACCAGCAGAGUUUUAGAAACACUUUACAGGUUUUACGCCAAAAAUUGUAAAACAUUUAAUUUUGAAAGGCAAAUUAAUAAUGUGUCGACUAUGCCCGAUUUUUUUGAUUUCAGUGAUGAUGAUGAUGAAAUUGAAGUUAGUUCUUCUCCACAAGAACAGAUUAAAUUUGAUCAACGAUGGUAAUAAAACAGCAGUUCUUCAGCUAUUUAAAUGACAAUGCAAGUGCUGACGAGAUUUACCAAAAAUAUGAUUUAUUAAGGGAGGCAUUUAUUUUUUUAACACGCCCUUAACGUCUUCAGCUCCAGUUGAACGACUGUUUUCAUUUGCCGGGAUCGUCAACAGUCCAAGGCGGCAAUCAUUGUUUGAUUUUUCUUUUGAAAAAUUAGUUGUAAUGAAGGCCAAUUGUAAAUAUAUGUAAAUUAU